rnacentral:tRNA from 4 species
CUGGUAGUUCAGUUGGUUAGAACGCUAGCCUGUCACGCUAGAGGUCGUGGGUUCGAACCCCAUCC